CAUAAUCUCUGAGGAGAAAAGCAGGGGAUCGCAAGACCUUGCGCUUUUGGAGCGGCCGAUGCCUGAUUAGCUUGUUAGUAAGGUAAAAGCUUACCAAGGCUUCGAUCAGUAGCUGGUCUGAGAGGACGGCCAGCCACACUGGGACUGAGACACGGCCCAGACUCCUACGGGAGGCAGCAGUGGGGAAUUUUGGACAAUGGGGGCAACCCUGAUCCAGCCAUGCCGCGUGAGUGAAGAAGGCCUUCGGGUUGUAAAGCUCUUUCAGCCGGAACGAAACGGUUACGGUUAAUACCCGUGACUAAUGACGGUACCGGAAGAAGAAG
rnacentral:rRNA from 1 species